CCAUGGGACAGCUGGAUCAGUGGGUUGGCGCUGGCACAAGAGCUCUACCCUCUGCUCCAGUUUCAGCCUCAAGCGCUGCCUUCCAGAGGGACCUGGUGUCUGUUGUGUGAGUGAAAAACUCUGAGACAUCUCAGCAUCGCGGCUCUCUAGGGCAGAAAUGUCCAUAUACAGAAAUCGUCCCAACGAUUGCCAGUGCUGACUUGAGCCGGCAGAAGAAAUCUGGCCCCAGGAGGCAGAUGUGGAGGGGACGAGCAUGUGGUCCCAUCACAGAAACCUAACUGCAGCAGCCAAAGCCGUUGACCAAAAAAUUAUUAGUGUCCUCCAAAGGCAAAAGAAGGAAUGAAAUAAAGCUGCUGCAAAAAGGAGAAUGUUUGCAAACACAGAAGUGAACAAAACGCAACAAGGAGCAAAACUUUGAUUAAAUGUUUCUUAUGAUCUGUGA